rnacentral:tRNA from 2 species
CAACUUUUACCUUUGAGGUUUUAUUAUUUACAUUAAUAAAUAUAUUUGUUAAAUUCAAAUGAAGUUGA